CGUCAUUAACAAUCGACAGCAGGGUUGUUUUUGAACGGGAUGUUUCUGUUUUUAUAAAUAGUAUUUUUCAACAAUGAAUUUGAAGUGGGUUUGUUCACAUUCCUGAAUACUAUGGCAAGCCAAAGAGCGCUACCUCAAAGCAAGGAGAGCCUUCUUCAGAACUACAACAAAAGACUGAAGGAUGAUAUUAGGUCCAUUCUAGACAACCUCACAGAAAUCAUCAAAACUGCAAAGGACAAUGACGCAACACACACCUCCAGGCUUUCUAAGGGAUAUUUGACCAAGAAGUAGAGUGAUGGAGUGCUGCAUCAUAUGACCUGGCCUCCAGAAUCACCUGACCUCAACCCAAUUGAGAUGGUUUGGGAUGAGUUGGACCGCAGAGUGAAGGAAAAGCAGUC